rnacentral:misc_RNA from 1 species
ACUCAUUUCAACUCUCAAAACAAAGAGCAUAUUUAAGCCUUGAUCUGUCUUAUUUCAAGAAGUGGUUGGUUUUCUUUUUCUUUGAAAAAAAUAAAUUGUUAGCAAUACUCAGACUAAUGUCACAAUCAUUUGCUAAAUAUCCAUAUUAAGCAAGAAGAUCAGGCAGUUGCAUCCUUCAGAUAGGCAAUGAGAUCUGCACGCUCUUGCGGC